rnacentral:rRNA from 1 species
AUUUACUAGGUUAUUUUAUUUUAUUAUUUAUUUGCUUUUAUUAGAAGAAUGUUAAUUUUUAUUAUUUUUGUUUGAAAAAAUAUUUUUUGUGAUAGUUAAGAGUAUUGAGAAAGAAUUUUUUGAAAUUUUUAAAAGAAGAUUUUGUUUGUUGUACCUUGUGUAUCAGGGUUGAUUAAAUUAUAAAUUAUUUUUGAUUUUUCCCGAAUUCAAAAGAGCUAUGAUAUUAUAUAUUUUACUGUGGAAUGAGUAUUUAUAAUUUUAUUAUAGUAAUGAAACGUUAUUCGUUUUUGAAUAUAUCUGGUUUCUUAAGAAAUAAAUUUAAUUUAAUUAGUAAUUAGGCUCUUUUUUAAUUUUAAGUUUGAUUUUUUUACUGAUUAAUAUUUAAGGGGAUAAGCUUUUAAAUAUAAUGUUAAAAAUAUUUUUAUUUAAUUGAUUUGUAGGAUUAGAAUUUUUCACCAAUUAAAGGAUGUUUUAAUUUAUCUUUUUGUUAUUUGAUUUAUAUUUAUUUUAACUUUUAUAUUAAGAUUUUAACUUAAACGAUUUUUGUUUAGUAAUUAUGAUUAAAUUAGUAUAAUUUUAUGUUUAAUUAUUUUAUAUUUAUAAGGCUAUUUCAAGGAACUCGGCAAUUAUAAUUUUCACCUGUUUAUUAAAAACAUGGCCUUUUGAGUUAUAAUUUAAGGUCAGACCUGCCCAAUGAUUAAUUAAAUGGCUGCAGUAUAUUGACUGUACAAAGGUAGCAUAAUCAUUAGUUUCUUAAUUAGGAGCUGGAAUGAAUGGUUCGAUGAAAAAUUAACUGUCUUGAAUUAGAUGUUUUAGAAUUUUAUUUUUAAGUGAAAAAGCUUAAAUUUUUUAGAAAGACGAGAAGACCCUUUAGAGUUUAAUGCCUAUAGAGUAAGAUUUUUAAGGAUUUUAAUAAUAUUUUAUUUUUAGAGGUAUUUUGUUGGGGCGACAUGAAAAUUUGUUUAACUUUUUAUUAUAUUUACAUUGAUUAAUGAGUCUAUGAUCCUAUUUUUUAGAUUACAAGAUUAAAUUACCUUAGGGAUAACAGCGUAAUUUUUUCUGAAAGUUCUUAUUGAUGAAAAAGUUUGCGACCUCGAUGUUGGAUUAAAAUUUAUUUUUGGUGUAGUAGCUGAAAUAUUGGGUCUGUUCGACCUUUGAAAUUUUACAUGAUCUGAGUUUAAACCGGUGUGAGCCAGGUUGGUUUCUAUCUUUUAUUAAUUGGAAUAUUUUAGUACGAAAGGACCAAUUAUUCAAAUAAAAUUUUAUUUUUUGAUUAUU